GACGAACGCUGGCGGCGUGCUUAACACAUGCAAGUCGAACGAUGAAGGAGAGCUUGCUCUCCGGAUUAGUGGCGAACGGGUGAGUAAUGUAUCGGAACGUAUCCAAUAAUGGGGGAUAACUAGUCGAAAGAUUAGCCAAUACCGCAUACGUCCUACGGGAGAAAGCUAGGGACCUUCGGGCCUGGCGUUGAUGGAGCGGUCGAUAUCUGAUUAGCUAGUUGGUGGGGUAAAGGCUCACCAAGGCGACGAUCAGUAGCUGGUCUGAGAGGACGACCAGCCACACUGGAACUGAGACACGGUCCAGACUCCUACGGGAGGCAGCAGUGGGGAAUUUUGGACAAUGGGCGAAAGCCUGAUCCAGCCAUUCCGCGUGAGUGAAGAAGGCCUUCGGGUUGUAAAGCUCUUUCGCAAGGGAAGAAAACUUAAGCUCUAACAUAGCUUGAGGUUGACGGUACCUUGAUAAGAAGCACCGGCUAACUACGUGCCAGCAGCCGCCGUAA
rnacentral:rRNA from 1 species